rnacentral:rRNA from 1 species
GACGAACGCUGGCGGCGUGCUUAACACAUGCAAGUCGAACGGAGCGGCCCUGCUUUUGUGGGGUGCUCGAGUGGCGAACGGGUGAGUAACCCGAGAGUAACCUGCCUCUGACUUUGGGUUACCUUCAGGAACCUGGGGCUAUUACCGGAUAGGCGCCCCUGCUGCAUGGUGGGGGUUGGAAAGUUUAGGCGGUUGGGUGUGGACUCGCGGCUUAUCAGCUUGUUGGUCGGGUAGUGACUGAUCAAGGGCUUGACUGGUAGCCGGCCUGAGAGGGUGGAUGGCCACAUUGGGACUGAGAUACGGCCGGAGGUCCUACGAGAGGCAGCAGUGGGAUGGAAUGCACAAUGGGCGGAAGCCGGAUGCAGCAACGCCGCGUGCUGGAGGACGGCCAUCUGGGUGUAAACCGCUUUCGCCCGUGACGAAGCGGGAGUGACGGUAAUGGGUAAAGAAGCACCGGCUAACUACGUG